GACAAUAACAUAUGAACCCAGUCUACAACUUGUCGGUAAUUUAAAUUAACGAAAAGCACCGUUAGGUUAGAGACCAACUAAUCACGCUGCGCUGACUUAGACGUAUCGGUACGGCCAGAUUUGUUUCGUAAAUGCGUAAAAUGGAUAUUAAUGUCGUAAUUGUACGUCCAGUUUAUAAAAAUAAAUGCGUAAAUCUUCAUGAAAAAGGCGUAUUUACGGCUGUACGGCCCUUAUCUGGAGCUCUGAUUUGGGCAAUAUUUUUCAGUUAUCGAGUUAUGCUAUGGCAACAAACAACUGCAGUUAAGCGUUGGCACCCACAAGCAGUACUCUUGUUUGAUAAAUUACAUUUGUUCUACUUAUAUCUUUGCAGAUGUCAACCUUAGAAGAAAUCAUGAACAUGGACCAAAGCAUGCCCUAUGACAAGUCUGCAAGGGGCAGAGUUGUGUUUGCAAGCAGUCCAGAGACAUAUACUAAUGCCAAUGGUGAGACAAAGCAGUCAAAGUCUGUUGCUAUAGCAGAUGACAAAAAAGCUGUGAAAGUUGUGUUGUAUGACCCAACCCAAUUCAACAAACUUAUUGAAGGUAAAACAAUAAUGUUGAGAAAUUUCAUCCGAAGGGAUGGGUAUAUCAUUCUAACCCGAACAUCUAGACUGUUCCCAACACAAGAAAUUGAAGUCCCUGACAGCAGAGUACAAGAGGGUAAGGCUCUUGUCAAUCCACCAGCGGCUCCUAUGGUUUCAUUGAGAGAAGCACUAAGGUCACCUCCAAAAACCAAAACAACUGUUUGCGGGAAAGUCAUUCAGGAUGAAGAAUAGCGCGACAUCCUGGUAGGAAAGUCGAAAAGUCCGACAAAGAUGAGAACAAUUUACAUACAGGAUGAAACGGUGGACAGAGUAAAAGUGGCUUUGUGGAGAAACACUAACAAAAACGUCAGAACUGGGGAUUUCGUCAAAAUCACUUAUUUGACAAUACACACUUACCAAACAAAGUACACAACUGAAACCAGCUUCAAUUCUACCUACACAACUUCAGUUACUAAAGUCGAACCACCAACUGUACAUGUGACACUUACAGUAAUUAGUGCCUGUGCACAAGAUGACGUUACAGAACUUCUCCUCAGUGAUGACUCUGUGAGGGCAAUUCCUUCACAAUUAUUAAUGGCUGCCCUUCCACAAGAACUUGAAGAAGUAUUGGAUCCAGAAUCUUUCUUUGCAGAGCGAAAAACAAACUUAAGGCUGCAAUUAAAAGGAUCGGAAGUACUUUCAGUGAAACUUCAGUAAACUGUUAUACAUAUACAUGACAUUAUUCAGCAUUCCUAGUUUACCAUGUUUUCCCUAGUGUUUUUUUUUUAUAAAUCUCCUACUUUUUCAUACAUUUUACAACAAGCUCCUACUUCUCCUAGUUAUGCCCCCCUUCAAAGAAGGGGGAUAUUGCUUUGCACAUGUUGGUGUGUUGGUCUGUCCGUCCGUCCACCACAUGAUUGUCUGAUGAUAACUCAAGAACGCUUAGGCCUAGGAUCAUGAAACUUCAUACGUACAUUGAUCAUGACUGGCAGAUGACCAACUAUUGAUUUUGAGGUCAAUGGUCACAGGUGAAGGUCAUAGUGACUGGAAAUAGGAAAAUGGUUUUUAAAUGAUAACUCCAGAAUGCUUACGCCUAGGAUCAUGAAACUUAAUAGGGACAUUGGUCAUGACCAGCAGAUGACCCCAACUGAUUUUCAGGUCAAUAGGUCAAAGGUCAAGGUCACAGUGACCUGAAACAGUAAAAUGGUUGAAUGGAAAUAGCAAAAUGGUUUCCAAAUGAUAACUCAAGAAAGCUUUGCCUUAUGCCUGGGAUCGUGAAACUUCAUAGGGGCAUUGAUCAUAACUGGCAGAUGACUCUUAUUGAUUUUCAGGUCACUAAAUCAAAGGUCACAGUGAAACGAGACAGUUAAGUGGUUUACUGGAAAUAGGAAAAUGGUUUCCAGAUGAUAACUCAAGAAGGCUUACGCCUGGUAUCAUGAAACCAUCACCACCUCCACCACCACCUCAGUGACAAAAAACGUAUUCACACAAUAGCUGCCAUUACAACUGACAGCCCAUAUGGGGGGCUUGCAUUUUUUAUAAACAGCCCUUGUUCUUUUUCAAGUAACAAGUCUUUAAAACUUUUAAUGGGCAAAAAAAUAAUUUGAUUUUGUUAAUUUGAUGUCACCUGGAUAUGUAUACAUGUAUUCAUAGGGUUUUAAAUAUAGUUGUGUUUGCUGUAGGUAUAAUUUCUUGAUUUUGACAUUUGCAAAGAUUGCCAAUAUACAACAUGAAGAAGUGAUUAGGCAAAAUUAUGUUUACAAUACUUGAGGCUGGACCCUACACAUUCAGUUUAAUUGGGUCUAGCCACUCAUUAGUUAUCAAUAAGAAAGCAGGGAAAUUUAAUAUUUGAGUUUCAUCUACAGAUCAUGUGAUGUAGCAUUUAUAGGUACAGGAAAAGACUCGACCUUGUAUAAAUGCAAAGGAUCUUUCAGUUAUAAAAUUAGAAGUUAUAAAAUUAAAAACAAGCUUGAUCUUGUAAACAGAAAAUCAUUCAUUGAGUACACGACUUUCCAUUGAUUAAAUCUGGAACUCCUAACUUAAAUUCUUCUAAUUCAUCAUGUAUGCUACUGGUUUCUCUUAUAUGAUCCAUAAGAAUACUUGUAACAUAAUCAAUGACUUGGUGCAUAUUUGAGGAUGUUGAUUGCAAUCCGCAGUCAAUAAAUUUGUUUGGUUGCAUGUUAUAUUUAAUACCUGACAUACAGUUGUCCAUUCUUAUAAAUGGUUAGUUUAUUCAUGUGAUCAGCAAGAAAAUUGACAUGAUCCAUUGUUGUAGUGCCGAAAAGUCCUUUUGAAAGUUUAUCUAUGAAAAGCAAAAGUGCACUUUUACUUCUAGAUUAGAUUGUGGUUGAUUAAAGAAUAAGGCUCAAUACUCAAAUUGUACACUUGUAUUUUGCUCCUCUUCAUUUCUGAGGCUUUUUAUUCGAGUCAUCAUGUGAGAUAACAUGUGACACGAUUGAUUGUUCACUUAACAAGCUGGAAGUGCAGACACAUCAAAUUAUUUUGUGUUCCCUUCAAUUAAAGCAUGAUGUCUAUUUAUUAAAAGGGUGUUAUUUUCAACUGCU